rnacentral:rRNA from 1 species
CAGAAACUACAAAGGAAGUUGACGGGGGCCCGGCACAAGCGGUGGAGUAUGUGGUUAAUUCGAUGCAACGCGAAGAACCUUACCUGGUCUUGACAUCCCGGAGACCCUUAGGAAACUAGGGGGUGCUUCCAUCUGGAAGAAUCUGGAGACAGGUGCUGCAUGGCUGUCGUCAGCUCGUGUCGUGAGAUGUUGGGUUAAGUCCCGCAACGAGCGCAACCCUUGCCUUUAGUUGCCAGCAGUUCGGCUGGGCACUCUAAAGGGACUGCCGGUGUUAAACCGGAGGAAGGUGGGGAUGACGUCAAGUCCUCAUGGCCUUUAUGACCAGGGCUACACACGUACUACAAUGGCCGAUACAAAGGGCAGCGACACUGCGAGGUGAAGCCAAUCCCGUAAAAUCGGUCUCAGUCCGGAUUGGAGUCUGCAACUCGACUCCAUGAAGUUGGAAUCGCUAGUAAUCGUGGAUCAGCAUGCCACGGUGAAUACGUUCCCGGGCCUU